UCUGAUCGUGGCUCAGAUUGAACGCUGGCGGCAGGCUUAACACAUGCAAGUCGAACGGUUGCACAGAGAGCUUGUUCUCGGGUGACGAGUGGCGGAACGGGUGAGUAAUGUCUGGGAAACUGCCUGAUGGAGGGGGAUAACUACUGGAAACGGUAGCUAAUACCGCAUAACGUCGCAAGACCAAAGAGGGGGACCUUCGGGCCUCUUGCCAUCAGAUGUGCCCAGAUGGGAUUAGCUAGUAGGUGGGGUAACGGCUCACCUAGGCGACGAUCCCUAGCUGGUCUGAGAGGAUGACCAGCCACACUGGAAGUGAGACACGGUCCAGACUCCUACGGGAGGCAGCAGUGGGGAAUAUUGCACAAUGGGCGCAAGCCUGAUGCAGCCAUGCCGCGUGUAUGAAGAAGGCCUUCGGGUUGUAAAGUACUUUCAGCGGGGAGGAAGGUGUUGUGGUUAAUAACCGCAGCAAUUGAGGUUACCCGCAGAAGAAGCACCGGUUAACUCCGUGCCAGCAGCCGCGGUAAUACGGAGGGUGCAAGCGUUAAUCGGAAUUAUUGGGCGUAAAGCGCACGCAGGCGGUUUGUCAAUUCGGAUGUGAAAUCCCCGGGUUAAACCUGGGAAGUCCAUUGGAAAUUGGCAGGUUAGAGUCUUGUGGAGGGGGGUAGAAUUCCAGGGGUAGGGGUGAAAUGGGUAGAGAUUUGGAGGACUCCCGGUGGGGAAGGGGGCCCCUUGUACAAAGAUUGACGCUCAGGUGGAAAAGGUUGGGGAGCAAACAGGAUUAAUUACCUGGGUAGUCCCCCCGUUAA
rnacentral:rRNA from 1 species